rnacentral:lncRNA from 1 species
CGCCCAAGUGAACAGACAUUGGUUGAGAACUAUGAAGCACGCCCUUCUCUGCCCCACUACAAAAGCCCGUUGAUGGAAGUCAAACUCAGUUGGGACUGGUGUCUAUACGUUUUAAAGGGCUAAUUACAACGUGGAGGUGACGAUCGCCACGCUGGAAGGAUGAAUUUCGCCAAGACCAGACAGAAUACAGCACGAUCUUAGUAUGGCAACUUGGUUCAUGCAGAUAUCCAAGGGUUUGCGACAUUCAGAACAUGACUGAUGAGUGGAUCCUUCUCGUUUGGAGCCUAAACUGCCUAUGGAUAGAUCCCAGCCAGUCCCAUCCCACCUACAGUAUCUCCGUAGACGCAGUGACGACCUGUCAUUCAUUGCAGGAGGGGCAGAGCCUGUUUUGAUCCCCAGAUUCUUUGCAAAAAAUAAAUAAUAAUAAUAGUAUUUGGGGGGUUGCCUGUUUGGUAUGUUAUUUUGGCAUUAAUACGUGUCACAUAUCAGUUUGCAAACAAUGUAAAAAAUAAAUGAAUCAUUGCAUUAAUAAAGCCUCCAUACAAA